CCCUUAGAUGUUCUGGGCCGCACACGCGCUACACUGAAGGAGGCAGCGUGUACUCCUGGAUCGAAAGAUUUGGGUAACCCGCGAAUCUCCUUCGUGCUAGGGAUUGAGGUUUGCAAUUAUCCUUCAUGAACGAGGAAUUCCCAGUAAGUGCAAGUCAUAAGCUUGCGCUGACUACGUCCCUGCCCUUUGUACGCACCGCCCGUCGCUACUACCGAUUGAAUGAUUUAGUGAGGACUUCGGACUGGGACCGAUGCGGCUUUCGGGCUGCGUCGGUAUUCUGGAAAGAUGUCCAAACUGUNUNAUUUAGNGGAAGUAAAANUCGUANCA
rnacentral:rRNA from 1 species